rnacentral:rRNA from 1 species
AGAGUUUGAUCCUGGCUCAGAAUCAACGCUGGCGGCGUGCCUAACACAUGCAAGUCGAACGAGAAAGUGGAGCAAUCCAUGAGUAAAGUGGCGCACGGGUGAGUAACACGUGACUAACCUACCUUUUAGUGGGGGAUAACUUAGGGAAACCUGGGCUAAUACCGCAUAACACCUACGGGUCAAAGCAGCAAUGCGCUGGAAGAGGGGGUCGCGGUCGAUUAGUUAGUUGGCAGGGUAAUGGCCUACCAAGACUGUGAUCGAUAUCCGGCCUGAGAGGGCGCACGGACACACUGGAACUGAAACACGGUCCAGACUCCUACGGGAGGCAGCAGUGGGGAAUUUUGCGCAAUGGGGGAAACCCUGACGCAGCAACGCCGCGUGGAGGAUGAAGUCCCUUGGGACGUAGACUCCUUUCGAUCGGGACGAUUAUGACGGUACCGGAAGAAGAAGCCCCGGCUAACUUCGUGCCAGCAGCCGCGGUAAUACGAGGGGGGCAAGCGUUGUUCGGAAUUAUUGGGCGUAAAGGGUGCGUAGGCGGUUCGGCAAGUCUUGUGUGAAAUCUUCAGGCUCAACUUGAAGUCUGCACAAGAAACUGCCGGGCUUGAGUAUGGGAGAGGUGAGUGGAAUUUCCGGUGUAGCGGUGAGAUGCGUAGAUAUCGGAAGGAACACCUGUGGCGAAAGCGGCUCACUGGACCAUUACUGACGCUGAUGCACGAAAGCUAGGGGAGCAAACAGGAUUAGAUACCCUGGUAGUCCUAGCCCUAAACGAUGAUCGCUUGGUGUGGCGGGUAUCCAACCCUGCCGUGCCGCAGCUAACGCGUUAAGCGAUCCGCCUGGGGAGUACGGUCGCAAGGCUGAAACUCAAGGAAUUGACGGGGGCCCGCACAAGCGGUGGAGCAUGUGGUUUAAUUCGACGCAACGCGAAGAACCUUACCUGGGCUCGAAAUGUAGUGGACUGGGGUAGAAAUAUCCCU